CAGGCGAACUGCGGGCGUUCUGCUGGCAAAACAUAGCUUCGGUUAUGUCAAUGGCUAUUGGAUUGGUCCAUGAAGCGAAAAAUAGUUUACUGUGUCACUCGUACCCGAUAACCGCAUCAGGUCUUCUAGGUAAGUAGCCUAUGGCCAUUGAGGCAUGAUAGUUCAGGGAAUUCGGCCAAUUAGAGCUGUAACUUCGGGAUAAAGCUUGGCUCUGAUGAAAAUCAGAACCGAUUGUUACGCGGAGAGCCCAACUGUUUAAUAAAAACGUAGUGUCGCGCUGUGGUAGUAUAGCCAGUGAACGCGACAUGAAUCCUGCUCAGUGCUGUGUCUGUUAAUAUGGUUCAAGCCAACGAAGCACCGGUAAAUAGCUGGGGUAACUAUGACUCUUAUCAAAGUAGCGAAAUACCUCGUCACUUAAUUAGUGACCUGCAUGAACGGAGCUAUGAGGUUCUCACUGUCCCAAACUGUCUCUCAGCGAACCAACUGUAGUGGGAACGGUCACUAGAUAUCCAGCGGGGAAAGAAGACCCUGUAGAGCUUCACUUUGGUCUAGUCUUGUAUAGUUCCUGCGGGGGUGUAGACUAGGUGGGAGAGCAAUCGAUUCUGAAAAACCACUACCCUGUUUGGAAUUAUGCUUACCUAUCACAAGGAAUAGGACUAGAUAGAAAGUUUGGCUGGGGCGGCACACCUUCGAAAGAGCAGCGAAGGUGUCCUAAGUUGAGCUCAGUGAGGACAGAAAUCUCACGUUGAGGAUAAGGCCAAAAGCUCAAUUUACUGUGCCUUUUUGUACUAGGAUCAGUUACGAAAGUAAGGCCUAACGAUCCCUAAAUAGCCUCAGGUGCGUGAGGAUUGGGGUGACAGACAAGUUACCUCCGGGACAACUGGCUUGUGGCUGCUAAGAGAUCAAAUCAACGCAGCUUUUUGAUUCUUCGAUGUCGGCUCUUCCUAUCCUAGUGAUGUACAAGUUGCUAAGGGUCGGAUUGUUCACCCGUAUUAGGGAUCGUGAGCUGGGUUUAGACCGUCGUGAGCCAGGUUUGUU
rnacentral:ncRNA from 2 species